GAUGAACGCUAGCUACAGGCUUAACACAUGCAAGUCGAGGGGCAGCAUUUCAGUUUGCUUGCAAACUGGAGAUGGCGACCGGCGCACGGGUGAGUAACACGUAUCCAACCUGCCGAUAACUCGGGGAUAGCCUUUCGAAAGAAAGAUUAAUACCCGAUGGUAUAAUCAGACCGCAUGGUCUUGUUAUUAAAGAAUUUCGGUUAUCGAUGGGGAUGCGUUCCAUUAGGCAGUUGGUGAGGUACGACGUCACCAACCUUA
rnacentral:rRNA from 1 species